rnacentral:lncRNA from 1 species
GUCCCACCGCCAUCUUUGCGGUGGGUUCUGCUGAAGCCGAACGAUCCUGCAUAUUGUGUUUUUUGUUGUUGUUGUUUUAAGCCCUGGGCUUUCCAGGCUGAACUUUCUCACUACCAUUACACUGAAAAAGAGCCCUUGAAAGUUUUGCUCGGAUCUUGCACAUUCUUUUGGAAGUCUUACUGUGGAAAUUGUCCGUGUUUUCAGCUUCCACAUCCCUUUCUCCUGGGAGAUUUCUUUUCCGUUUUUUUUACUUUGUCUCUUUUCUUUCCUCCGCAACUGCUUUGUUGUUGUUGUUGUUGUUUCUUGUAAACCACUUCUCAAAAGUGAACUAGUUGCCGUUUAAUAGAAGUUUGGAUGAACUGCCCCCAAAAUAAAGGAAAUCCGAACAGUCAUGGAAGUUGACUCCAAUUGGAGGGAUGGCUCUGAUCAAUUACUCUUUCCACAGAGAAUAACAGAUAGUCCUCAUAGCAUCUAGGAAUUGAACAGCUUGGACUUGGAGACAGUGAGUUAAAACAGAAAUAAGAAGGCGGCAGAAAAAGACUACCAGAUUGAAAUGUGUUGGAUAUUCAUAUCCACCCAGCACCUCAGAAUGUGGCCAUGGAGGAUGGAGACAGAGAUUGGAGUGAUGCAUCUUCAAGCCUAGGAACACUAAGGAUUGCUGGUAAUCACCAGAAGCUGGAAGAGGCAAGAAAGUGUCCUUUCCUAGAGCCUUCAGAGAGAGCGCAGCCCUGCCAACACCUUGAUUAUAUGCUUCAAGCUUCUAGAAUUGUGAGAGAAUAAAUUUCUGUUGUUAUAAGCCACCUAGUUUGUGGUCUUUUGUUAUGGCAGCCCUGGGAAACUAAUAAACAUAAUAGUACUGGGAAGUGAGAUGCUGCUGUAGCAAAUACCUAAAAAUGUGGAAGUGGCUUUGGAACUGGGUAGUGGGUAGAGGCUGGGAGAAUUUUUAGGUGCAUGCCAGAAAAAGCCUGGGUUGCCUUGAAGAGACUGUUGGUAGAAAUACUGAAGUUUAAGGGGCUUCUAGUUAGGGCUCAGAAAGAAGGAAGGAGAGCUAUGGAGAGAGCUUCUAUUGUGUUAAGGCACAUAUAUAUAUUACCACUAAAAGAAUGUUUCUAGAAAUAUG